AGACUCCUCUGCAUUCACUGUUGAAGUAAGGCCGAUUGAGGGCCUGGUAGACUUAAAUUUUUCUGCAAAUUGUAAAAGAAAAACAGGUUCCAAAGUCACGAAGGGAAUCGAUAAACAGAAAAAUCACAGCUGCUUCCCUCUUCUGCAUUGUCUUUUGUGGAGAAAUGUUUUGUGUUCCUUUGAAGAAUAGAUAUGUGAUGGGAAGGGAUCCGUUCUCCGAGAAACAGGACAGGGUCACGUUCUGGCCUUUCUUUGCCUGAGAGGUGGGUGAGCUCAGCACUGGUUUGGAAAUUGGCUCUGUAGAAAGAAAACUGAAAAGUCUGAAUCACAGAGUAAAGGACAAGCUCCAGGCAAGACUUGAAGUGACAACACUGGCAAAAGAGCUGGGCAUGGAGGAUGGAGGGGUUGUGAGCUCUGGCAGGAGAGCACUGCCAGCUCCUGGGGUAGGAACAGCAGUAAAGUUCAUCUCCUCAGUCAAGAAAAGAGAUGGUUGUGUGCCCCUGCAAGAACCAGUGCUGGGAAGGUGUACAGCAAGACGUACCUAUGAGGGUGAUGUUGAGGCUGUUGCUGUAUUUUCCACCACUGGAAUUGUUAUACUCAGCUUUGCACUUGUAUUCCCCCAUGUCGCUGGCAGAGCUGAUGGUCAGGGUGAACAGUGCAGGCAUCAAGUCUGACCUGUUCAAAGCAGAUACCUGCUGGUUGUGCUUGAACAGGGUGUAUCUGACAGGUGGAGAUCCAGGCUCAGACAGGCAAGAGAGAGUCACAUUCUGCUUCAUCACCACAUUCAACGUCCCCUGAACCAGUACAAGCUUGGGAUUGGACAGCAUCUCUGGAAAGAAAAACAACUGAGUGAGUUGACUGUACCUAUGACCAAAGAAAGCCCCAGAUUUUUCCCAAAUUAUGUUGACAACCAAGCUAUGCUUAUUUGUGUUGAAAUGCCAUUAUACUUUUUCCACCUCUAAUACCAGGCAACUCAAUUACUUUUCAAAACCAGAAUGCAGCUUCACACAAUAAAAAGUGUGCGUGUUCGUGCAAAAGAGGCACAGCCACACAAAGCCCACAGAUGUGUUCAGAUGAACCAACAACUUUUGAACUACAGCAAUUAAAUUAAUAGUAGUGUAAAAGAUUAAAUAAAAUAUUGUGGAGUAUUAAUUGUAGGAGUCUAUAAAGUAACUUUAUAUAUUAGUUGAGAGGUAGCAUGUGAACCUGAAAGCAAAAGCAGUAUUUUAUUUGUGGCUGUCUAUUAACAGACAGAACUAACCUUGUGUAAGUAGACUGGACAUUUGAAUAGUAGCAUUAAGAGCCUUUAUGAUCUCUCAAAUUUGUUUGCUUUCAUGAACUUAAACUAAUGAAUUUGCAAUAAAAAACUGUCUUUCCAUG